CCUACGGGAGGCAGCAGUGGGGAAUAUUGCACAAUGGAGGAAACCCUGAUGCAGCAACGCCGCGUGAGUGAAGAAGGUUUUCGGAUUGUAAAGCUCUUUUAGCAGGGAAGAGGAAGGACGGUACCUGCAGAGGAAGCCACUGCUAACUACGUGCCAGCAGCCGCGGUAAUACGGAGGUGGCAAGCGUUGUUCGGAAUAACUGGGUGUAAAGGAUGCGUAGGUGGUUAAACAAGUUAUAUGUUAAAUAUAUAGGCUUAACCGGUAGAAUGCAUAUAAAACUGUUUAACUAGAGUGCAGGAGAGGUAAGUGGAAUUCGUAGUGUAGCGGUGAAAUGCUUAGAUAUUAGGAAGAACCCCAGUGGCGAAGGCGACUUACUAGACUGUAACUGACGCUGAGGCAUGAGAGCAUGGGGAGCAAACAGGAUUAGAUACCCCUGUAGUC
rnacentral:rRNA from 1 species